rnacentral:rRNA from 1 species
GACGAACGCUGGCGGCGUGCCUAAUACAUGCAAGUAGGACGCACAGUUUAUACCGUAGCUUGCUACACCAUAGACUGUGAGUUGCGAACGGGCGAGUAACGCGUAGGUAACCUGCCUAUUAGAGGGGGAUAACUAUUGGAAACGAUAGCUAAUACCGCAUAACAGUAUGUAACACAUGUUAGAUGCUUGAAAGAUGCAAUUGCAUCGCUAGUAGAUGGACCUGCGUUGUAUUAGCUAGUAGGUAGGGUAAUGGCCUACCUAGGCGACGAUACAUAGCCGACCUGAGAGGGUGAUCGGCCACACUGGGACUGAGACACGGCCCAGACUCCUACGGGAGGCAGCAGUAGGGAAUCUUCGGCAAUGGGGGGAACCCUGACCGAGCAACGCCGCGUGAGUGAAGAAGGUUUUCGGAUCGUAAAGCUCUGUUGUUAAGGAAGAACGAGUGUGAGAAUGGAAAGUUCAUACU